CGCAGCGCCAAAAACGCUCCUUUUCUCUCUCUCUCUCUCUCCUCCUACUUCGACUUUUUAUUUUAUUUUAUUUCUCUUCCACCAUCAUGCGUCUCACCCGCCAAGACAUUUUCAACUCGGUCCUUGUUGACGAUGACACGUUUUCUUCAAUUACGCGCGGCGAGUUGCGCAGCGGGAACAAACUUUAAAGGCUUUUAUUUAUUCUUUUUUUUUUUUUUUUUUUUUUUUUUGCACAUAUAUGAAGGGAGGUGAGUCGCCGCUUGCUUGAGAGCUUCUAACGGUUCUGGAUUGGAGACGCGCGCGGUGGGGAUUGCAAUAAGAGCGUCCGCACCGAUGAUACAACAUGGGUUCAAUGCUAAAUGACGGCCGAGUGACACACCUCCUCUUUCCUCUCCUCCUCCUCUUGCGGGUUCCCCUCUUGUUGAGCUUUGGUGAGCGUACAUGCCCCAACAGUUGUCGUUGCGAGGGGAAAACCGUUCAUUGCGACUCAUCUGGCUUCAUAGAUGUCCCGGAAAAUAUUUCCGUCGGGUGCCAGGGCCUCUCCCUGCGCUAUAACGACCUGCACACCCUGUUACCGUAUCAGUUCGCUCACCUGGGUCAGCUUCUCUGGAUAUACUUGGACCACAAUCAGAUUUCAGCGGUGGACAGUCGAGCGUUCCAGGGAGUCCGCCGGCUGAAAGAGCUUAUAAUGAGUUCCAAUAAGAUCGUAUCUCUGCACAAUUCCACCUUUCACGGAAUUCCCAACCUCCGUAGUCUGGACUUGUCGUACAACAAGUUGGAUAUCCUGCAGCCAGGACAAUUCCAUGGGCUACGGAAGCUUCAAAACCUACACCUACGCUCGAAUGGUCUCUCUAACAUCCCGAUUAGAGCGUUCCUCGAGUGCAGGAGUUUAGAGUUUCUGGAUUUGGGCUACAAUCGAAUCAAGGCUCUUACACGCACCACCUUUUUAGGGUUACAGAAGCUGAUGGAGUUGCAUCUUGAGCACAACCAGUUCACACGGAUAAACUUUUUCCUGUUUCCCCGACUCGCCAACCUAAGAUCGCUUUAUUUGCAGUGGAACCGCAUUAAGGUCGUCAACCAGGGACUUCCCUGGACGUGGUAUACGCUGCAGAAACUCGAUUUAUCUGGAAACGAGAUCCAGACCCUGGAUCCGGCUGUGUUCCACUGCUUGCCCAACCUUCAAGUUCUCAACCUGGAAUCCAACAAAUUGUCCAACGUGUCACAGGAGGCGGUGUCGGCCUGGAUCUCGCUGACUUCCAUCAGCCUCGCCGGGAACAUGUGGGAUUGUGCCACGGGCAUUUGUCCGCUCGUGGCUUGGCUGAGGAAUUUCCGCGGCACGAAAGACACCACGAUGAUAUGCAGCAGCCCCAAGUAUCUCCAAGGAGAGAAAAUAAUGGAUGCCACAAGAAACCACGGGAUUUGUGAGGAAACUGAUUACGUUCUCACCGAGACACCCUCGCCGAUGUCAGAGCUUUUUUCGGAAGCCACCAACGAGCCCACGUUUGCCCCCACAAGCGGGUCUCCGCUAAUGCCACCGACCUAUGGUCCGCUCCCUCCCAUCGGGCCUCUACCAAUCCCCCAUCCUACACUCCCGGGGCACAUGAGCAAAGAUCCUAGAGACUCAGUAGCUCAUAGUCAGCCCACUCACAUACUCCCCCCAGAGUUGGAGCACAUGACUCUACACAAAGUGGUGGUGGGAAGCGUGGCACUCUUCUUCAGCAUGUCUCUAAUUUUGACAAUCGUCUACGUGCUGUGGCGGCGCUACCCGGGCGCCACCAGAUUGCUACAGCAACGAUCCAUGGUGGGACGGAAGUGUCGCAAAAAGAGCCCAGAGCCAGAGCAGGACCUAAGCACCCAGCUCCAAGAGUAUUACAUGAGCUACAACCCGGCUGCCGCCCCAGAGGCAUUGGACGUGCUCGGCAACGGCACCGGCUCCUGUACUUGCACAAUUUCUAGCUCCAGGGAGUGUGAGGUAUGAUCCAUCGCGUCUGCCUAAAAAAAAAAAUGAAAUCAAUUUCAAAAUGCAAAGGCUCAUCAGCAAGAAUGAGUACACAUGUCCACGGCCCUUACCCGGCGCCUGGCUGGGGGAUCUGACUACCAUCCAUUAAGAAGGACCGCUUUGGACCGUGGAAAAAAAAAAAUCAUCUUAACACAAACACGAGGAUAGCUACCCAAAGAACCCGUAAGGAUCCUAUUCAGAUUCUUCAGUGAAAAAAAAACUCCCAAGAAACAUCCCCAAGAUACACUGAGAGGUAGUAAUACCUUUUUAAUAACUUCGAAACGAAACGGUCGGAAUUUCCCGAUGCCGACGGCGAACCGUGGACGCGAAUACGGGAAAAUGACUCAUCUUGACGCUCGGGGAUUUCCGCCAGGACAAUUUGAUUGAGUUGGAAGAAAGAGACUUGUACUGUACAUAUUGUAAGAGGCUUUAACAUGUGCUACUGGUGAAGAUGCACCGCCUGGACGGACCCCUGCCUGAUUAAAAAUAGAUUUUGUUUACAACAGGAAGCAUCUUAUAAGGUAGAUUUUUUUUUUUUUUUUUGGACACUUUCACGAGACUUGAUUGGUGUGUAUGUGCCUAACUGGAUCAGAAUCAGUGUGUUUUUUUGUUUGUUUGUAUUUUGCACUUGUUGGUAAAGAUAAACAAGCUUUACCAGGUUUACGGGCAAAUCGGUAAGAGCUGAGAUUAUCCCAGGGGUCGGGAACUCCAAAUGGUGAAAAGAGCCAUAUUGGACCACAAAU